AGCAGCCGCGGUAAUUCCAGCUCCAAUAGCGUAUAUUAAAGUUGUUGCAGUUAAAAAGCUCGUAGUUGAAUUUCGGGAUUAGUGCGCCGGUCGUGCCUUCGGUAUGUACUGGUGUUACUGGUUCCUACCUUCUGACGAACCGUCAUGUCAUUAAUUUGGUGUGGCGGGGAAUCAGGACUGUUACUUUGAAAAAUUAGAGUGUUUAAAGCAGGCUCGCGCUUGAAUACAUUAGCAUGGAAUAAUGAAAUAGGACGUUCGAUCCUAUUUUGUUGGUUUCUAGGAUUGACGUAAUGAUUAAUAGGGAUAGUUGGGGGCAUUAGUAUUCAAUUGUCAGAGGUGAAAUUCUUGGAUUUAUUGAAGACUAACUACUGCGAAAGCAUUUGCCAAGGAUGUUUUCAUUAAUCAAGAACGAAAGUUAGGGGAUCGAAGACGAUCAGAUACCGUCGUAGUCUUAACCAUAAACUAUGCCGACUAG
rnacentral:rRNA from 1 species